rnacentral:rRNA from 1 species
GACGAACGCUGGCGGCGUGCUUAACACAUGCAAGUCGAACGGAAAGGCCCUGCUUUUGUGGGGUGCUCGAGUGGCGAACGGGUGAGUAACACGCGAGCAACCUGCCCUUGACUUUGGGAUAACUUCAGGAAACUGGGGCUAAUACCGGAUAGGAGCUCCUGCUGCAUGGUGGGGGUUGGAAAGUUUCGGCGGUUGGGGAUGGACUCGCGGCUUAUCAGCUUGUUGGUGGGGUAGUGGCUUACCAAGGCUUUGACGGGUAGCCGGCCUGAGAGGGUGACCGGCCACAUUGGGACUGAGAUACGGCCCAGACUCCUACGGGAGGCAGCAGUGGGGAAUAUUGCACAAUGGGCGGAAGCCUGAUGCAGCAACGCCGCGUGCGGGAUGACGGCCUUCGGGUUGUAAACCGCUUUCGCCUGUGACGAAGCGUGAGUGACGGUAAUGGGUAAAGAAGCACCGGCUAACUACGUG